GUUAUCUACCAGGGGGUACUUAGCUUGUGCCAUGGUGAUACCGAGAGAGGCAAUUGCUAAGUUGUGAUACUCUCAUACCUUUACUAGAUUGCGAACGAUUCCGGAGAAGAUGAAGAAGUGGAUCGGACAAGGAUUUUAUUUGUAUUGUUGGGAUUCUUACAUUGAUGGAGUUGAAGAAGUACAGGGACAAAUAAGCCAAGGCAAGCCAUCUUUGAUCUCUGAUUGAUGUCAAGUGGAUGUCAUUUGUUGAUGUCCCAAAGUAUCUUGUUUCUAUGUGAGUUGUUCUCACUAUA